GUGAGGAAUAUUGGUCAAUGGGCGGGAGCCUGAACCAGCCAAGUCGCGUGAAGGAAGAAGGAUCUAUGGUUCGUAAACUUCUUUUGCAGGGGAAUAAAGUGCAGGACGUGUCCUGUUUUGUAUGUACCCUGAGAAUAAGGAUCGGCUAACUCCGUGCCAGCAGCCGCGGUAAUACGGAGGAUCCGAGCGUUAUCCGGAUUUACUGGGUUUAAAGGGUGCGUAGGUGGUUUGAUAAGUCAGCGGUGAAAGUUUGCAGCUUAACUGUAAAAAUGCCGUUGAAACUGUCGGACUUGAGUGUAAAUGAGGUAGGCGGAAUGCGUGGUGUAGCGGUGAAAUGCAUAGAUAUCACGCAGAACUCCGAUUGCGAAGGCAGCUUACUAAGCUACAACUGACACUGAAGCACGAAAGCGUGGGGAUCAAACAGGAUUAGAAACCCUUGUAGUCC
rnacentral:rRNA from 1 species